rnacentral:rRNA from 1 species
CCUACGGGCUGCAGCAGUAGGGAAUCUUCGGCAAUGGACGAAAGUCUGACCGAGCAACGCCGCGUGUGUGAAGAAGGUUUUCGGAUCGUAAAACUCUGUUGUUAGAGAAGAACAAGUAGGAGAGUAACUGCUCUUACCUUGACGGUAUCUAACCAGAAAGCCACGGCUAACUACGUGCCAGCAGCCGCGGUAAUACGUAGGUGGCAAGCGUUGUCCGGAUUUAUUGGGCGUAAAGCGAGCGCAGGCGGUCUUUUAAGUCUGAUGUGAAAGCCCUCGGCUCAACCGAGGAAGGUCAUUGGAAACUGGAGGACUUGAGUGCAGAAGAGGAGAGUGGAAUUCCAUGUGUAGCGGUGAAAUGCGUAGAUAUAUGGAGGAACACCAGUGGCGAAGGCGACUCUCUGGUCUAUAACUGACGCUGAGGCUCGAAAGCGUGGGGAGCAAACAGGAUUAGAUACCCCUGUAGUC